CCUCUUCUUCAGAGCAAAAGAAAUAUGCAUUUCUUAUCAAACAGAGGUCUUGUCUUAGCAACAGUUUCUCUAGAAUGGGAAUGGACGAUACUGUGAUUGAAUUUAUGAAAGUUGUUUCAUGCGAUUCUGCAUUAUUCUUGGCAUCUCAAUAUGACAGCAACAAGGAAGCGGAGAUGGGCAGUUGCUGGUGGUGUUUGGUGGUCUGAAAUGUGGGUCUGAUCUGAAAUUUGAGAUGGAAAUGAACAAGGAAUUAAAGGGGUUCGAUUCAUUGAAGUGCAAGGACUGGAUUCAGCCAAGAAUCAAUGAGAAGAUUAAGCAACAGAUUUUGGGGAUUUCUAGUUUUGAUAUGGACUGGUCUCGGCAGAUUUGUACUGGGAAUUUUGGUUUCAAUUGAGAAGUAUGCAAACAACAAUGGAGUCUAGGAAACGACAAGGAAGAUGGAGAUGACGAAGAGCGGUGUUGGAGUUCAGUUAAAAGGGAGUGGAAUUCAGGAAGACAAGCAGAUGUUGAGAGCGAGAUUUGGGGAAUUUAUGGUCUGAAAUUAAAUCUCUAAAUUGAGAAUCAAGCACAACAAUGAUGGCAGGAGUGGGAGACUAUGCUGGCUAAGAGGUGCUGGGGCCGUUGGUUAAAUGGACAGGGUAAUGGAGUUGGUAGAACCAGGAUUUGGAAAUUGCCUCAAUCUGGAAACUGGAGGUAAUAAUGGAUCAGAUUGACUGGGCUUUGGCAAUAUCUGCUAGGUCUCAGUCAAAUGUCUACAACAGCUGCUAUAUAAACAAGAACAGAGGAAGAUGGGAGAGGAUGCCGUUUACAGGGAAGAAACUAGGUUUAAGCUUUCUUUCGUUAUGCUUAGCUUGUUAUUUCCUUUAUCAGUUUUUAUGGAUUUUAAGAAAACCAUGGUUUGCUAAACUACUGUUAGGGUGAAAGGAUGAACUUGUAGGCUAGAUCAUUUGUGUUUAUGAACAAGAUUUUCUUUAAAUCAAAAGCUUAAUUUUCUGUUUGAGUAUCUCAUAUUUGUGAUUGUUCUUAUAGAUCUUUUCAUGUUUUAUGCCAAGUAUGCUACAUAGGUAAGCUAUAGACAAUCCCAUUGUGACCUGAUUGAUAAUAGAUUUGUGAAUACUCUUUUACUUUGUAUGCCAAGUAUACAUAGUGAUUAGAGGUUCUACUUUUAGUUCGAGAUCAAGCAAUCUUUCGUCGAUUAUUAUCAAUAAAUCUUAACGACAUAUCUUCCAUGUUUAAGUAGCCAGGCGUUGCCGCUUUACAUGAGUAAAAUAGAGACUCUCGUGAUAAAUCACAAGUACACUUUAAUAUCUUAGUUUGCAUUCUGGUUUCUUUGUAUCACAUCUGAAAUCUUCCAAUUGAAUUGAUCUUGAUUAGAAAGGUGAUAGUAUUAGUUAGAAGUAAGUUAGAACACUCCUCGUGGGAACGAAUCACAUUUGCUACUGUGUACAAUUUCGACACCGCGCACUUGCGGUAAAACAAAGUCGGUUAUCCGACUCAUCAAGUUUUUGGUGCCGCUUCCGGGGAGUGGCUGCUAGCUACUUUAGUUGAUACUUUUGAAUUUCUGAUUGUAGCUUAGAUUUAUUUUUGUUUUGGUUUGUAUUUUGUUUUUAGCUUUAUUUUGAAUAGAUUUUUUUUUUAGACUUCUUUUUAGAUCCUUUUUAUCUCUUUAGUUUGUUUGAUUUUUCAGGUACCAUAGGAGCUAAAGAUUGCUCAGCCACAUAAGUUCUGUGAACUAAAGUGUUAAUCUAGGAGCGUCGCGAGUUCUUAGUUGCAGCUGAACUUGUGUGUUGGGUUGAUCUCCAACUUUUCAGGCUUUACAUAUAUGCUGGCAGGUUGCUAUUAUGCAUCAUUCUUCACUUUGGAUGAGAUUACUUGCUGCGCGCAAGCUGGGAAACAAAUAUCAUUCGUGGAGUCAACCCACCAGAUUUGUUCCUUUUUCUUUAUCUUUUAAUCUUUUAUGUGUUUGCUUGCGAAUUUUCCCACCUUGUUUUUUACGAUGGAUGAUUCAAUUAUAUUGGGGACAAUGUAAUGAUUAAGUGUGGGGUAGCGGUUAACACUUUAGAUUUUUGUAGGUUAUUCACUUUUAUUUCAUGACCAGCUGUGGAGCGGAUCUCUAAAAAAAAAUGCACAACAUGACCGGUUGUUGAGCGGGUGUAAAAAAAUUUCUUUUGUAUAACAUGACCAGCUGUUGAGCGGGUCAUUCUGUUUAUCAGUCUCGCUGUUUAGCAGACUUCUUUAAGCCAAUGUUUAGUGGCUCCGUCUAGCUGUUUAGCGGACAUUACUCUACCACUGUUUAGUGGGAUCGUCUCGCUGUUUAGCAGACAUCACUCUUAUCCAGCUGUGGAGCGGAUAUAUUUUUUAUUUUGCUCGGAACUAGCAAAAAGUAAGUGUGGGGGUAUUUAAUAAGCACGUAAAUGCUACAUGUUUACUCUCACAUUUAUAUUAGCUAGGUCUCGUUAUUUACCUAAUAAUAAUGUUUUAAGGCUUUUAUAGGAAACACGAGCAAUUCCAUUCGCCUAGAGAACAAAUGGCUAAACAAGGAGCUAAUUCGCGUGUGCCACAAAGGUGAGCAAAGUCACUCAUGGCAUCACCUGCUUGGCUACAUUUCUUCACAGCCAGGGAGUUGCAAAGUUUGCCCAUGUAGACGAGCCCGGCCCACUAGUGGCUGAAGAGAAAUGCAAGACGUGGCCACUUCCUCCACCACAAUUAUCUAUGGAAUAUUAUCCUCUUCUUCGGAGCAAAAGAAAUCUGCAUUUCUUAUCAAACAGAGGUCUUGUCUUAGCAACAGUUUCUCUAGAAUGGGAAUGGACGAUACUGUGAUUGAAUUUAUGGGAGUUGUUUCAUGCGAUUCUGCAUUAUUCUUGGCAUCUCAAUAUGACAGCAACAAGGAAGCGGAGAUGGGCAGUUGCUGGUGGUGUUUGGUGGUCUGAAAUGUGGGUCUGAUCUGAAAUUUGAGAUGGAAAUGAACAAGGAAUUAAAGGGGUUCGAUUCAUUGAAGUGCAAGGACUGGAUUCAGCCAAGAAUCAAUGAGAAGAUUAAGCAACAGAUUUUGGGGAUUUCUAGUUUUGAUAUGGACUGGUCUCGGCAGAUUUGUACUGGGACUUUUGGUUUCAAUUGAGAAGUAAGCAAACAACAAUGGAGUCUGGGAAACGACAAGGAAGAUGGAGAUGACAAAGAGCGGUGUUGGAGUUCAGUUAAAAGGGAGUGGAAUUCGGGAAGACAAGCAGAUGUUGAGAGCGAGAUUUGGGGAAUUUAUGGUCUGAAAUUAAAUCUCUAAAUUGAGAAUCAAGCACAACAAUGAUGGCAGGAGUGGGUUUGAUCUGAAGCUGCUGUUAAUUGUUUGUCGAUGGAGUUCUUCUCAAAUCAGCAGCAUCGGUGUUUGAAGGUACUGUUGUGUUCAAGAUUUCCGGUGUUGCUCCCAUGGUGCAAUCUCGUUGCAGUACGGCAAUAGAUGAAACUGGGGUUGUGUUAUUGAUUAAAAUUGGGUCUGUACUGGGUCAACUGGUGAUGGUUUAACUACAACAUCAGUGGGGUUUUGAUGGUCAUCUCGGCAACAAUUGUGAGGGCAUUCUGAUGGCUAAUUCAAUUGGAUACAGUCAUGGUGUUGAGGAGAAUGAAGCUGGUGGAUGGUUGUAUUGGUGUUACUGGUGAUGACCUGGAGUCUGCUAUAGUUGGAUUUGAACAAGUACGAUGGAAAAGAGGAGCUGUGGCUAUGUAUGUAUGUUGGUUGAUCUGAAUUCGUAGUGGUGAUGAUAUUAUGAGUUUUGGCCAAACUUUGGAGUUGGUUUGAAGAUGCAAUGGAGAAUGAAUUGGCUGCAGACAAUUUGCUUAUGAUGCUGGGGUCAGUUUAACAAGAAGUGAAGAUAUGGUUUAUAAUUAGGGAGACUAUGCUGGCUAAGAGGUGCUGGGGCGGUGGUUAAGUGGACAGGGUAAUGGAGUUGGUAGAACCAGGAUUUGGAAAUUGCCUCAAUCUGGAAACUGGAGGUAGUAAUGGAUCAGAUGGACUGGGCUUUGGCAAUAUCUGCUAGGUCUCAGUCAAAUGUCUACAACAGCUGCUAUAUAAACAAGAACAGAGGCAGAUGGGAGAGGACGUCGUUUACAUUGAAGAAACUAGGUUUAAGCUUUCUUUCGCUAUGCUUAGCUUGUUAUUCCCUUUAUCAGUUUUUAUGGCUUUUGAGAAAACCAUGGUUUGCUAAACUACUGUUAGGGUGAAAGGAUGAACUUGUAGGCUAGAUCAUUUGUGUUUAUGAACAAGAGUUUCUUUAAAUCAAAAGCUUAAUUUUCUGUUUGAGUAUCUCA